AGAGUUUGAUCCUGGCUCAGGACGAACGCUGGCGGCGUGCCUAAUACAUGCAAGUCGAGCGAGCUUGCCUAGAUGAUUUUAGUGCUUGCACUAAAUGAAACUAGAUACAAGCGAGCGGCGGACGGGUGAGUAACACGUGGGUAACCUGCCCAAGAGACUGGGAUAACACCUGGAAACAGAUGCUAAUACCGGAUAACAACACUAGACGCAUGUCUAGAGUUUGAAAGAUGGUUCUGCUAUCACUCUUGGAUGGACCUGCGGUGCAUUAGCUAGUUGGUAAGGUAACGGCUUACCAAGGCAAUGAUGCAUAGCCGAGUUGAGAGACUGAUCGGCCACAUUGGGACUGAGACACGGCCCAAACUCCUACGGGAGGCAGCAGUAGGGAAUCUUCCACAAUGGACGAAAGUCUGAUAGAGCAACGCCGCGUGAGUGAAGAAGGGUUUCGGCUCGUAAAGCUCUGUUGGUAGUGAAGAAAGAUAGAGGUAGUAACUGGCCUUUAUUUGACGGUAAUUACUUAGAAAGUCACGGCUAACUACGUGCCAGCAGCCGCGGUAAUACGUAGGUGGCAAGCGUUGUCCGGAUUUAUUGGGCGUAAAGCGAGUGCAGGCGGUUCAAUAAGUCUGAUGUGAAAGCCUUCGGCUCAACCGGAGAAUUGCAUCAGAAACUGUUGAACUUGAGUGCAGAAGAGGAGAGUGGAACUCCAUGUGUAGCGGUGGAAUGCGUAGAUAUAUGGAAGAACACCAGUGGCGAAGGCGGCUCUCUGGUCUGCAACUGACGCUGAGGCUCGAAAGCAUGGGUAGCGAACAGGAUUAGAUACCCUGGUAGUCCAUGCCGUAAACGAUGAGUGCUAAGUGUUGGGAGGUUUCCCCCCUCCCUGGGCUGCAGCUAACGCAUUAAGCACUCCGCCCUGGGAGAGCGCCC
rnacentral:rRNA from 1 species